rnacentral:rRNA from 1 species
CCUACGGUGGGCUGCAGUGAGGAAUAUUGGUCAAUGUGCGCGAGCCUGAACCAGCCAAGUAGCGUGAAGGAUGACUGCCCUACGGGUUGUAAACUUCUUUUCUAAAGGAAUAAAGUGAGGCACGUGUGCCUUUUUGUAUGUACUUUAUGACUAAGGAUCGGCUAACUCCGUGCCAGCAGCCGCGGUAAUACGGAGGAUCCGAGCGUUCUCCGGAUUUAUUGGGUUUAAAGGGAGCGUAGAUGGGUUGUUAAGUCAGUUGUGAAAGUGUGCGGCUCAACCGUAAAAUUGCAAUUGAUACUGGCAGCCUUGAGUACAGUUGAGGUAGGCGGAAUUCGUGGGGUAGCGGUGAAAUGCUUAGAUAUCACGAAGAACUCCGAUUGCGAAGGCAGCUUACUAAACUGCCACUGACAUUGAUGCUCGAAAGUGUGGGUAUCAAACAGGAUUAGAUACCCCUGUAGUC